UCAGGACGAACGCUGGCGGCGCGCCUAAAACAUGCAAGUCGAACGAGAAGCCCGGGCUUGCCCGGGUGGACAGUGGCGAACGGGUGAGUAACACGUGAGGAACCUGCCCCGAAGACCGGGACAACAUCGGGAAACCGUUGCUAAUACCGGAUGCCCUCGAAGAAUCGCAUGGUUCAUCGAGGAAAUGGAUUCCGCUUCGGGAUGGCCUCGCGGCCUAUCAGCUUGUUGGUGAGGUAACGGCUCACCAAGGCUUCGACGGGUAGCUGGUCUGAGAGGAUGUCCAGCCACACUGGGACUGAGACACGGCCCAGACUCCUACGGGAGGCAGCAGUUAGGAAUCUUGCGCAAUGGACGAAAGUCUGACGCAGCGACGCCGCGUGCGGGAUGAAGGCCCUCGGGUUGUAAACCGCUUUCAGCAGGGACGAAAUUGACGGUACCUGCAGAAGAAGCCCCGGCCAACUACGUGCCAGCAGCCGCGGUAAUACGUAGGGGGCUAGCGUUGUCCGGAUUUAUUGGGCGUAAAGAGCUCGUAGGUGGUUCGGUAAGUCGGAUGUGAAAUCUCCAGGCUCAACCUGGAGGGGUCAUUCGAUACUGCCGUGACUAGAGUUCGGUAGAGGAGUGUGGAAUUCCUGGUGGAGCGGUGAAAUGCGCAGAGAUCAGGAGGAACACCCGUAGCGAAGGCGGCACUCUGGGCCGAUACUGACACUGAGGAGCGAAAGCGUGGGGAGCGAACAGGAUUAGAUACCCUGGUAGUCCACGCCGUAAACGUUGGGCACUAGGUGUGGGGUUCUAUCGACGGAUUCCGUGCCGUAGCUAACGCAUUAAGUGCCCCGCCUGGGGAGUACGGCCGCAAGGCUAAAAC
rnacentral:rRNA from 1 species